GACAGAGGAUGCAAGCGUUAUCCGGAAUGAUUGGGCGUAAAGCGUCUGUAGGUGGCUUUAAGUCCGCCGUCAAAUCCCAGGGCUCAACCCUGGACAGGCGGUGGAAACUACCAAGCUGGAGUACGGUAGGGGCAGAGGGAAUUUCCGGUGGAGCGGUGAAAUGCGUAGAGAGUACGGAAAGAACACCACGGCGAAAGCACUCUGCUGGGCCGACACUGGCACUGAGAGACGAAAGCUAGGGGAGCGAAUGGG
rnacentral:rRNA from 1 species